ensembl:lncRNA
GGGGGGUUGAGGGGGAUUUGAGGGGGCUACAGGGGCUGGAGGAGCCCUGAAGGGACCUGGGGGGAGCUCUGAGAGGGGUCUGAGGGAGAUUUGAGGAAGCCUGAGGGGGCUACAGGGGCUGAAGGAGCCCUGAAGGGACCUGAUGGGGGGGUCUGAGGGGGCUACAGGAGCUGAGGGAGCCCUGAGGGGGAUGUGGGGGUGCUGAGGGGCUCACACCCCCUGGGUGCCCGUGGCCUCGCUGGUUGGCCCCACGCAUUCAGGUGGUGGUAGCGGUGUCAGGCUCCCCAGCGAGGUGCCCAGCACGCCCCCAGCCUUGGAUCCGCUGGCUCCUGGCGCUGCCGGAGUCCCAGGCUCGCUUGCUGGCGUGGUGGUGAGGCCGGCUUCCUCAGGCACGGGGGUAAGGUGAAAUUGCUUUGUGUCCCCUGCAUAUGGUCCGUGAUGUUUCUGUGGGCUUGACAGGGAGAUGGGAACAAUAGAGGGCUGUAAAAACCCUUAACAGUUGUUUUGAAAUGCUUGAUACUCCUUAUCAACAAAAGGUGACAGAAUUGUCUUAUCAAAACAUUCCAAGGUGUAGGAUGGAAGCUCAUAUAUCCAUAACGACCUACUUCAGCUGUGGAUGAGCUGGGAUGGAUGCCCCGGACAGCUAAGCACAAAUUCUGCAGGAGUGUGAAAGCUAGCAGGAAGGUCAAGAUGGAUCCAGCUUCAGGUGUGAACAAAGGUGGCCCCUGGGCUGAGGCUUCACAGAGGAAGGUCUGAUCUGAAGUUUGGUUUAAAGGCACAGGUGAAGAUCUUUGGAAAAGAACUUUCAUCGUGGAAACAGUGCCUAUAAGUAUUAACUAAACCUUUAUCACAGCAUUGCAGCAUAAUUUGAGGAAUGUGAAACACAUGAAGAAGAUGUUGCAUCCAUACUCCCCUGCUGAGAUUUCAGCUGAGGACACAGCCCGUGCACCUCAAGCAACCUUCUCUAGGACAGAGGCAGAUACAGAAGAGGAAACCCUGAAGAACCUCGUGGACGUUCUGCAUCACGUCAUGCGCAACGAUCCCUCGCAGGGCGCGCUGGCUGCGCCUUCAGCAGCGACACCCCCUCGUAAUGAUACCAUCGAUGCUCUUUGGUUAAAAGUAUACAAGAAGCAUGCUGAGAAGCCAGAAAAAACGGGAAAGGUUGCAAUGACAAGAAAACCUACUCCAACCAUGCCAUCACUUCCGACUCUCCAAGCUGACCCAGAUUUUUCUGCUGCUUCGUGUGUUUUUGAGUCUGCUCAGCUGACAGCAGCACUGGAAGAGCUGGCCUUCAUACUGCAAAGUGCUGUUCCAAAGGGGAAAGAUAAGAUUCUUGAUCAGCUAAUAAAUGGAUUUAGUGAAGUCUUCAAAGAAUGUUUUAAAAAAAGUGAUGCCAAAAAUCACAAGUAAGUUUGAACACCCAAAACCUACUAGCAAAAUGUUGAAAAAAGUUGCAUUGCUGUAAAAAGAUGGAACAUCGAGUUCUAGCCAAAGUCAUCUUGGGAAUGAUUAAAACGUUAUAGAUAGCGGUAGGGAAUGCAUCUGACAGCAUUAAAACCCCACACCUCCAUGGGCAUGUUGAAUUGGCUGGGAUCCAGAGAGCAAAAGCUCAGGAACUAGAAGCAGAGAAUUUGCAAAAGCAAGCACAUAAUUUUUAUAAAACUUCCUCAGCUCCUCCCUCUCCAUCUCUCUGUCCACUAGGUCUGGGGGAGAGCUCAGCAGAAACCAGGAAAGUAAGAUCUUUGAUUAACCUGCUUUAAGGUUUUAGCCCUCAGUUAAAUUCAUACAGUAAUAAAUUCAAAAUUAAAAAAAAUUGAUAAUUAUAAUGAGAAAAAUAUCCUGGAGGACAUUGUUGAAAAUGUUGCUCCAUUGUCUAAGGCUCUAAAAAGUGUUUCAGUGGAAGCCAGAGCACUACAAGAAAAGAAAAUCUUAAGAAGAUACUGAUUUCUAGACCAGGCUUUUAAGAGCUAUAAAGGAAUUCCAUAUAUAUAUACACACCAAUAUCUGGAAUAUUGUCACAGUCUUUAUGUGAGGUUUUAAAAUAAUAAAAAGUCAUCCAAUCCAGAUAUAACUAUUUAUCCCUGUAAUUAAAAGUUAUUUAUAAAAGUUCUGUCUCAUGCCUGUUGUGUGACAAUGAUCAACUGGAAAUAAGAUACUGAAAUAAAGAGAAGCACUCAGUGGGCUUUUCCAAAUUUUUCUGUUUCAUAAGUUUGUACAGGAGAUGACCACUGAAGUCAGUCAUAUUUUUAAUAUUUUUAGAUUACACUCAAUGUUCUACACUAAUGGCAUGAAAAUAAAUUGUCUCCAACAAUUUCUCCUUUUUCCUUUUUUUUUUUUAAUUUAUUUUUUAGUGACCAUAUUUUCAUUUCUAUCACUGGAAAUACAUCAUUACUUAAAAACAGCACAAUGCCACAUUUACACUUUCUGCUGCUAAAUGCCAGAUUUUGGAGCCUUACAUUAUUUCUGUUUUCUUACAGUUUGGCUUUCCUUCAAAAUGCCAGAAUUCACCAAAAUACUCAGCACCUUGAGGCGUGCUGCAUGGAGGUUUGGGCACUCGGUGCCUCGCGCGGUGCAGCCCUGUGCUGGUGAGGGUCCCUUCGAGCACCUCCUACCGGGGGGGGGGCCAACAUUAUGAAAAAUAAGUGGGGUUACACAUCCCUCUUUUGUAAAUAUUUUGCCAUCAUGGACGUGAGUGAGCUGCGCUCUGUUGUGGGGCAGUUGUAUUUGGAGGGGUGGUGGCUGGGGUUUCUGCAUCGCCCUUCGAGCAGCACCCGCUGCCCCCGGGAGCAGUCGCAGCUGAUGUUCGGUGCUGUUUUGGGUGAAGAACUUGAUUACUUGCAUUUGAAGAACCAAAUGUGCUCUUUUAUUUUCCGAGUCUUUAGAUGGGGAUCCAUAAGACAGGUUCAAAGUAGUUCUGAAAUAAUGAGGUAAUUAUGGAGAUGUCACAGCCAGAUGCUCCUUCAUGGUUCUGUUGAAUUUUUUUUUUUUUUUUCUUUUAAUUUGACAUGAAAAGCUUUACCAGGAUGAAAUUACCUUAAACCUUUAAAAGGGUAGGCAUCUCCAUGGCAAAAUCACUUAGAUCUGAACUCACAGCUGACUGAAGAGCUCUGGAUCUUUGAAUGAACAAGACUGAAAGCUGUAACUCAUUUGAUUUAAGGUGAGUUUAAGAAUUAAGAAUGCUGAAAUGUACGAUUCUUCAAAUGAAAAGUUUUGUCAUUUUUGCAAUUUUUCAGGUAAUCUAAAGAUCUUUAACUUUAUU